AUGUACAAUACGGCGAAGGAACUAUUCGACGAACAAAUCGAAUACCCGACAAGAAGCACCCCGGGGCUGAUAAACGAAAUGCCGGUACAUCCAGCGGCUGGGGUUAUCCACGUUCGAGAACAUACCACCACCAUUCACAAGCUACAACUACCCCCCACCUUGCAGACAAAUGAUCUGCAAGACACUGUGGUUCCCAACUUCAAAGAACAAAGCAAAAGCUAAUCCUGGUGCAGUAGUAGAGAGAUUCAGAACACUACACCAGCAAAUACCAACAACAACGUUGUGCAUAUACACGGACGGGGCAAAAUCGCAAACCUCUAAAACGACCACAUGCGCAAUGUACAUUCCAACGAGAAAUGUCUCCCAAUCGUGGACCAUGGACAGUCAAGCAAGCAUCUACUCAGCGGAGCUGAUAGCCGUACACAAAGCCCUUGACUACACAUACAAACUUGACGAAAACCCACCAGAGGUGAUGGUGUUCUGUGACUCUAGCUCAGUGGUAAAAGCAAUUGGGUCCACCACACCGGGCAUCUAAGGCAACGAAGUGGCGGACAGACUGGCGCAAACCGAGUGCACAAAACCAUCUGGAGCAAAAGCUAACCAUAAGCUCUCCCCAUCUGAAAAAAUCUCAAUAGCAAAGGCAGACUGGAGGAAAGAACACCUCCUCUAUCUCAAGACAUGCCGGAAAGCCUGCAUUCAGACUAUGUCCAGGACAGGGCUGACCAAGUGGUUCCACCACAAGGAGAGAGCCAUAACAGUAUGCCUUCACAGGCUAAGAACAGGGCACAACUACCUGAAUUCUUUCAAUCACAGGGUGGACAAAGACGCUGACCCAAGCUGUCGAGAAGGUUGCGAGGCGAUCGAAAACGUCAAACACAUACUAAUCGACUGCCCGUACACAGAAAACCAUCGCUAAAAAAUCCACCAGCUACUGGCAACCCACAACAUCGACCUCAAUGUCGACUCACUACUCGGCCUCAACAUGGCACUAGAUACAACAGUACAAUGCAAGAUAAGGGACACCCUAGCCAAAUUUCUAAACCAAACAAACCUCGCAGUGAUAGUAUGCAGAUGUAACAACCAGAUGCGUCUGACCAUCAUGAAUUUCCAAUCCCAGUCCCUGACCAGGGAAACAACAAAGGCACAGCAACAGCUCCGGAAACUGCAAACAAAGGAAACGAAGAUAAAAGAAGAAGAAGCCGCCAAUCCCUAUAACAAGGAUACCUAG